CCCUUAGAUGUUCUGGGCCGCACGCGCGCUACACUGAUGCAUUCAACGAGUCUAAAACCUGCUCUGAUAGGGGUGGGUAAUCUUUUGAAUGUGCAUCGUGAUUGGGAUAGAUGAUUGCAAUUUUUCAUCUUCAACGAGGAAUGCCUAGUAAACGCAAGUCAUCAGCUUGCAUUGAUUACGUCCCUGCCCUUUGUACACACCGCCCGUCACUCCUACCGAUUGAAUGAUCCGAUGAAUAUCAUGGAUUGAGGAUGCAAGUAGGUUCGCCUAUCUUCAUCUUCGAGAAGUGAAGUAAAUCUUAUCAUUUAGAGGAAGGAGAAGUCGUAACA
rnacentral:rRNA from 1 species